UCUAAUUGUUGCAUGCAUGGGUAAGCAAAAAUGAAAGAAAUUCUUAAGUUUUUUUACACUAUGAUACUCUUUGUUUCCCUAUUUAUUGUUGUAAUCAAUGUUGGUGGAAAGUGUAUAUCUCACAUGCAUUGUAUAUAUCUUUCCUGUGGUUUUCCUCAAUUAACAUAUUGCCUUCAAAAUCAAUGUUACUGCCUUAACAUAUGAUAUUCAACAUGGUCAUGGCAAGCAAUAGAUGAGUCUUCACUUUUGAAAGAAGACCCCAAAGAUUGUGUUUGUUGUAUUCCAAACUAUUUCACGUUGUUAUUUGAUUUAUUUUCGUGUUUUCA